rnacentral:lncRNA from 1 species
AAGGGCUGGGUUGUAGCUCAGUGGUAGAGCACCCCUGGGUUCAAUCACUAGUACCAGGAGAAAAAAAAAAAAUCUUUUGACAGUCUUAUGUUAGGUUCGUGGAUAAGAUCAAAGACACUGUUGACAGAGAUGUUAGUUCACAGAAGGAAUAUGUGGUUUCAGAAGGAUUCUAUAGCCAAGUAAAUAAACAGUGACAGUGCAUUGUAUUUGUGCUAUAGAAUAGUACCAUUUGGUAGAAAUACAACAUGGCCCUGUAAUAGGGUCAGAAUCACGGUAUACACACAGUUUACGUGCUGAAUAUAUUCUCUGAAUAGACUUCUUUGCAAAGGCUGUAAGACUUGUGGAGCUUCAAAGCUAUGAUAUUAAGAACAUCAGAGCAAAAUUGCCUUAUCUCUGGAUAAGUUACAAUGCUAAUCCUUGGAAUGCAUCUGAAGAUACAAAUUUUGAAGCAUUUUGAAGAACUUCCAAGUUAAUUAAUCAAAAGUUCCAGUAAAUUUCGAGUAUUGUCCCUAUUAUUUAGUGGUGUGAAUUUUGGUAUACUGUCACCAAGUUUAAAAAUGUUAUAAGUAACAAUGAGAAAUUUUUCUGAAAGAAAGGGAAAAAAAAAUCUGGUUUUGGAGGUGAAGCAAAGCAUCCUUUAGGGAAAAGGCAAAGGGUGACAAUUACAGAAAUGAUGAUUCAUUAAGAUGUGUC